rnacentral:lncRNA from 1 species
AAAUUAAAGAAAGUUUAAUUUGUUUAUAGAACAAUUUCCUAAAAAUAUAAAUGUAAAGUGUUUAAUCUUUUAAGCAUAUUUGAUAACGUUGUCUCAAAAAUGUCCCCCAGCUAAUUGAUAAAUGUGUCAGCUUCGAAGGCAUAAAGAUAAUUGUAUAUACUUUUAAAAUUAAUAGACUUGAACAAUUAAGAUUAAGUAAUUCUGCCUUUAACCGACAAAGUCCAUUGUUUAUUAAAAGAGAUCAGAGAAAGCUAUUGUAUGAGUAACAAAAUAUUACGUGUCAAAUUAAGUCCAGUCUGCUAUAUAAAGUCGUGCAAAACUAUUUGGUUCACUAGACUGUGAACCAGAAUAAAAUGUAGUUAGCAGACUGGAUUGUCUUUUAAAGGUUAGUAAAAAUGUUAAAUUUGUUUAAUAGUUUAUCUUAUAAAUUUUAGCAGAAAC